CUCCCAGCAUGCACUGCUCCAUCACCCGUCCACUUCAGUGUUUAUAUCUCCUCACUUUGUUACAUUUGGCUUUACAUACAUAGUGUCUCUAGUGGACAUAGUGUCCUCUAGUGGACAUGGUGUCUCUAGUGGACAUAGUGUCUCUAGUGGACAUGGUGUCCUCUAGUGUCUCUAGUAGUGGACAUAGUGUCUCUAGUGUCCUCUAGAGGACAGUGUGUCUCACCCUCCUCUGCUGGGAGUCCAUCCAGAACACGUUGGGCUGUUUGUGUCUCUAGUAGAGGACAUAGUGUCUCUAUGUGUCCUCUAGAGGACAUGUUGUGUCUCUAGUGUCCUCUAGAGGACAGUGUGUCUCUAGGUGUCCUCUAGAGGACAGUGUGUCUCACCCUCCUCUGCUGGGAGUCCAUCCAGAACACGUUGGGCUGUUUGUGUCUCUAGUAGAGGACAUAGUGUCUCUAGGUGUCCUCUAGAGGACAGUGUCUCUAGUAGAGGACAUAGUGUCUCUAGUGUCCUCUAGAGGACAGUGUGUCUCACCCUCCUCUGCUGGGAGUCCAUCCAGAACACGUUGGGCUGUUUGUGUCGGAGGACGCCGCUUUUAGAGACCAGCAGCCGGUCUCCGCUCCGCCUCAGACCCGGACCACACAGCACCUUCUCCGGCUGAAC